UGAAGUAGUCGGUUUUCUUCGCGACUUCAUCGAUCUUCUUCUGUGGUGCAUCGACGAUGGGAGGUAGGAGACCUGCCAUUGCUGCAGCUGAUGGUGGCUAAGCUUUGAAUUGAAUCGGAGAAGUAACGGCGGCGAGAGAGCGGCGCAGCGAAUGGAGAACGACGGACUGAUAAAAAAUAGAGGCGAGCUGGAGCUGGGGUUUAGGUUUGGGGAGGUUUUUGCCUUUUAUGGGAGGGUCUUAACCUUUCUUUUCU
rnacentral:lncRNA from 1 species